rnacentral:lncRNA from 1 species
AAGACAUCCUAAAACCUUUUGUAAGCUUAUUAUUGUGUUUGGUUUUAUUCAUUUGGAACCUCUUAAAAAAUAAUGAAAUUUUGGCAUCUCUAUUAUGAUGUUAAAAUGAUGUCAUCUGUGUUAAAAGUCAGCCAUUAUGACAGCUAUAUUUCACAAAUCUGAGAAAAGGGGCAUAUUAAAACUACUUGGCUAUUAUUUUGAAGAACUAGAGGAUUCCUAAGGCAGUCAGCCCAAAGAGUAGAUGAUCUAAAAAGUGAGAAAAGGAAGAAACGUCCAUGCUAAUUCAUCAUAUAUUCUAAUACACUUCAGCCACAGAAUAAAGAAACCAUGCCAGUUGCUGCUACUGCAGACAGAGAGCGAAGAAAUCCUCUACGAGCCCCAUGGGUUUACAGAAGUCUAUCCAUCACUCUGUCAGUCUUCCGGAUCAUUAUUCAAGUUGCUAUCCCCAAUUUUGCUGGAUAUAUCAGAUCAACUCCAGCUCCAUAGAUGGACAGUGUGUUUUCUUCCUAUUUUUAAAGACCGCAAAGAGGAAAACUGAUGAAUAUUAUAAGGACACACUGGAAAGUGCAUUGUUACUAUGGCAAUAAAAAAGAGAACAAAUGUCAAAAUAUUUUUUUGGUAAAAUUCCAUUUCUCUGGGUAAAAUUUUACAGUCCUUUGCAUCAAGUGUAAGCAAAUACUCUUCAUGUGACAUUUUUAAUUAAAUAUUUCC